rnacentral:rRNA from 1 species
UACAGAGGGUGCAAGCGUUGUUCGGAAUCAUUGGGCGUAAAGGGCGCGUAGGCGGCCUGCUAAGUCGGAUGUGAAAUCCCUCGGCUCAACCGAGGAACUGCAUCCGAUACUGGCGGGCUUGAAUCCGGGAGAGGGAUGUGGAAUUCCAGGUGUAGCGGUGAAAUGCGUAGAUAUCUGGAGGAACACCGGUGGCGAAGGCGGCAUCCUGGACCGGUAUUGACGCUGAGGCGCGAAAGCUAGGGGAGCAAACGGGG